GAGUAAAUAGAAAAAGAAGAUAUUAUCUUUUAUUAAGGUAAAAAAUGAAGAAGAAAUAAAACUCCAUUUGUGUAAUAUAAACACAGUU
rnacentral:misc_RNA from 1 species